GUGGUCAGGCGGGGAGGGGGCGGGGCCAGGCGAGACUGGCUCAGCUGGCGGAAGAGGGGGCGGGGUUAAAGGCGGGGGCGUGGCCAUGCAAAUUAGGGCAGCCCAGUCGAGUCUGAGGGGCGUGUCUAUGCAAAUUAGGUGUAUCCAGUCAGGUCAAAGGGGCGUGUACAUGCAGAGUGGGCGUGUCCAAUGGAGCCAGGGGGCGUGUCUAUGCAAAUUAUGUGUGUCCAAUAGUCUGGGGGCGUGUCCAUGCAAAUUAGAUGUCUCUGGGUAAAGUGGGUGUGUCCAUGCAAAUUAGGUGUGUCCAGGCAGGUCAAAGGGGCGUGUCCAUGUAACACAGUGGGCGUGUCCAUGCAAAUUAGGAGUGUCCAAUCAUGUCAGGGGUGUGUCCAUGCAAAUUAGGUGUGUCCAACCAGGUGAAAAUGGGCGUGUUUAUGCAAAUUAGGAGUAUCCAAUCGAGUCGGGGGUGUGUCCAUGCAAAUUGGGUGUGUCCACACAGCCCAAUGGGGCGUGUCCAAGCAAAGUGGGCGUUUCCAAUGGAGUCAGGGGGCACGUCCAUGGAAGGUGGGCGUGUCCAUGCAAAUUAGGUGCCAAGACAGGUCAAAGUGGGCGUGUCCAUGCAAAGUGGGUGUGUCCAAUGGAGUCUGGCGGGCGUGUCCAUGCAAAUGAGGUGCGUCCAGGCAGGUCAAAGUGGGCGUGUCCAUGCAAAUGAGUUGCGUCCAAUUAAGUUAGAGGGCGUGUACAUGCAAAUUAGGCAUGUCCAGGCAGAUCGAAGUGGGCGUGUCCAUGCAAAUGAGGUGUGACCACUCACGUCAGAGUGGGCGUAUCCAAACGAGUUACAGGGGGCGUGUCCAUGCAAAUUAGGCGUCCAGACAGUCGAAAGUGGGCGUGCCCAUGCAAAAUGGGCGUGUCCAAUGGAGUCAGAUGGGCGUGUCCACGCAAAUGAGGUGCGUCCAGGCAAGUCAAAGUGGGCGUGUCCAUGCAAAGUGGGCGUGUCCAAUGGAGUCAGAGGGGGGCGUGUCCAUGCAAAUUAGGAAUCCAGUCGAAAGUGGGCGUGUCCAAUGUAGUCAGCAGGGGGCGUGUCCACGCCAAGUGGGUGUGCCCAUGCAAAGUGGGCGUGUCCAAGGGAGUCAGAGGGGGGCGUGUCCACGCAAAUUAGGAAUCCAGUCGAAAGUGGGCGUGUCCAAUGGAGUCAGAAGGGGGCGUGUCCACCCCAAGUGGGCGUGCCCAAGGGAGUCAGAGGGGGGCGUGUCCAUGCAAAUUAGGCAUCCAGUCGAAAGUGGGCGUGUCCAAUGUAGUCAGCAGGGGGCGUGUCCACGCCAAGUGGGUGUGUCCAUGCAAAGUGGGCGUGUCCAAGGGAGUCAGAGGGGGGCGUGUCCACGCAAAUUAGGAAUCCAGUCGAAAGUGGGCGUGUCCAAUGGAGUCAGAAGGGGGCGUGUCCACGCCAAGUGGGCAUGCCCAAGGGAGUCAGAGGGGGGCGUGUCCAUGCAAAUUAGGCAUCCAGUCGAAAGUGGGCGUGCCCAAGGGAGUCAGAGGGGGGCGUGUCCAUGCAAAUUAGGAAUCCAGUUGAAAGUGGGCGUGUCCAAUGUAGUCAGCAGAGGGUGUGUCCACGCCAAGUGGGCGUGUCCAUGCAAAGUGGGCGUGUCCAAUGGAGUCAGAUGGGGGCGUGUCCAUGCAAAUUAGGAAUCCAGUCGAAAGUGGGCGUGUCCAUGCAAAGUGG